GGGCUCUCCAGGAGGGCUGUCAUCCUGAUGCACCCGUCAAGGCAGAGCUACAUUCUCCUGCCUGGCCAUGGAGCUUCCAUCACUCUCCAGACAGCAACCUCCAGGCCAAAGUAGAGGAAAAGGCAACAAAUCCAGUUAGAGCAGAAAUGGCAUCUGUUCCUCCAGAUGAGUCUUCAGAGACAUUCAGAUAGCUGCCAGCUCACCUGAAGUCAGUACACAGUCUCCGUCACUUAACCCCUGAAAUAGGCAGUAUGGAUAAAAGCCCAGAAACCUCAAGCAAUUUGAGGACAUUGAGAAGAGAGGAAUUCAUCCAAUUCUACAAGUACUACAGGCAUAAUCUGAUGGCUUGACUUCUGGCCUGGAGAGACUUUUUAAAAGUCUAAUCUGAGAUUUCAUAUAGAAAGUUUCAGCAAUACAAAUCUUUUUUUUCUUUUUAACUGAUACACAAAAAUAUAAAAGUUGUGCAUACUACUGGAUUAUCAUGUAAUUUCCUAUAUGUGUAUAUAUUACAUGAUGCAAAUCAAGUUAAAGAUAUUUAUUUUCUAAAACAUUUAUCAUUUCUUUGUAGUGAUAACCUUAAACCCCGUUCUAGUGUUUUGAAGUGCAUAGUACACUAUUGUUAUCUGUAGUCACCCUGCUGUGCAAUAGCACAUCAGAACUUCUUGCUCCUAUCUGACCAUAACUUAGCACCUAUUGAUCAACCUUUCCCUUACAUAAUGCAAGUUUAAAAAGAGCCAAUAUCAUAGGAAAAAACUUUAUGAACAAAUCCUCAGUAGCAUGGGAACUAGCACAUAGAAUCAACAAUUGGGAUCUCAUCUUAUUAAAAAGCUUCUGUACUCAAAGAGAAACGACCAACAGAACUAAGAGACAACCCACAAUGUGAGAAAAAAAUUUUACCAGCUGUUCCUCAGACAAAGGUCUACUAUCAAGAAUAUAUAAAGAACUAAAAAAAAAUCAGACCCCCCCCAAAUAUAAAAACUCGAUUCAAAAAUGGGCAUCUGAAAUGAAC
ensembl:lncRNA